rnacentral:lncRNA from 1 species
UUUAAUGUUCUUACGUAUUCUAUUUAAUAUUGUAUUUCUUGUGUCCAAUACAGUUUAUGGCCAUUGUAUACAUAUGCACUAAGUAAAUGUUACUAAACGGCUGGCUGCAUGAGUGACUGCAUGAAUAAAUAACUGUAUGAAUAGCUUGAAGGAGAAAGAGAAAGUCUUCAGGCCCAGCGAAAUGAUGAGAGAGAAAAGAGGGAGAGAAUGAUUCUCAUACCGACGGUUUUAAAUGUGCAAUAACUUUAUGAUUCUUGAGUGAAACUGGCUAUCAAAAUCAGUCCCAACUCAAUACCAUCUGAAAAAGAAGAUCAUUCUUGGAAUAAGAGCCCUUUCGGUCGGAUGUGUCAGAGCCAAUCACAGGCUCCGGGGUCCCGUGGUGACUGCCGGCCGCCACAUACGGUGGGUUCUGAUAAAAAUCACAUCUGAUAAAUUCACUUCUGCUUGCCUGCUUGGCUGGAAAGAAGGUUUUAGUCCAAAAUCAACAAUGAUGAACUGAAAUCUAUCGGGCUGGGAAAUGCUUUUAGCCCUCCCUCUGGGCUGUACCACUUCACUACUUUGCUUCUCCUUUUGCCUUCCCACAUUGUCCCCAAGCCCAAGGAAGCAAAAGGUAGACACUGGGCGGGGCCCUUCCCUCUCUCUGCAGCAGUGGCAGAAGGAGCAUGUCUCCUCACUCCUGAUAUGCCUGGCCUCAUGCUACCUGCAGCCCCUUUGCCGUCUUUUCCUGCCUUGGCUACUGAAAGCAACGUCUCCUGGCACCACAGAAUAUGCAAGGUGAUUUCUCUGCCUUUUCACUUAUGGCAGAAACGCCUUAUGAUAGCACCUUUUUUAUCGUCAUUCCUGUCUUUUUUUGAUGCAUGUGGUGAGGGAGAACAGUCAAAUAAGAAGCCUUUGGAGAAACUUACAAAGGAGCUGUGUGUCAUGGCAGAGAUGGCUGAUUGCAAUGAUUUAACUGUGAGCCUUUGUAUCCACCCUCAUGCUCUUACUCACUCUCACAUCCUCAUACUUCCACAUCCUGAGCCCCAAAAUGACUUUCUUUCUUUUUUCUCUGGGAACGGAGCCUGGGUCUGGACCAGGGAGUGGCCAGCCACAAAGAGAAUAUUUUGGAGGUGUAUCCGGUCCUCACAGUGGUGUGAAAAUAACAGCAGAUGUCAACAGGAGUUGAAAGGCUGUUGGGGACUUUCAUGGAAGAAAGACUGAGGACGUCUUGGAGGAUUCUUUAACCCCUCACCCAUAAUGAUGGUACAAAAAUUGUCAGAAUCAUGCAGAGAGUUUGACGGGAGCUCUGACAGGUGAACUCAAGGUGGCAGGUGAACUUGAGGAGUGCAUAUUGACUUAGCAAGUAGCCUCAUCGGAGUUUGUUAGAAGCAGAAAAAACAUGGGACUUUCUCAUGGACUACAUGUAGAGUCAUGCAGGAAAUAAUGUUGUGUUGGGUUGUUUUAGACUCAGUACAGAGAAGGCUGGCUUAAGGAAAUCUCAGAAGAUAGAAGCCAAAAAAUGUUCAAGGGCUUUGGAAAGAGCAAGCAACCAGACAGAAUAGAGAUAGAUCAAUGAAAUAGCAAGUAGGAGGAGCAUGUUUCCCAAAGUACUCAUGAAAGCGCCCAUGAGAAAAAGCUUCUCGUAAAUGUCUAGGAAUGUAAAGCAAUAUCCCAAGAAUACCAGUCAAAUAUGAAUUUUCUGGCAUCUCAUAAGUAUCUUUUCUUCUAUUUCUCCAAAUCUAGAGGGAUCACAGACCUCAGGAAACAAGCUGGGGAAAGAAGAACAAAGAAAGAAAGAAAAAGCCCUAGCUCGGAUUGGAGAGAAAAUAAUUUUAAUCAAGUUUGGAAUUGCAAUUAUUACAUGGACUGGAUUUUUAAUAACCUAAGAGUAAUGAGAAAUGUCAUGAGAACACUGAGUUCUCAUCAAGGGCAGGAAAAGAACUUGCCACACUGAAUAUAUUUUUAAAGAGCAGUGAGAGUCAAAAUUAAGAUGCCUCAUGAUCAUAUCCCAGUAAUUCGGUUUGUCCAACCUACCAGUGCCAUUAGUUAUUUGUAUAUUUUAAGCCUUUUUGCCUGAAUUACCCAAAUUAUUGUCUCAAUUCCUCCUCACUUUACCUGUAGAAAUGUAAACUGAAGAUUUUGCUAUUUCAUUGUUUCACUUCUAGGAAUUUUUUUUAAAUAACAGUAUAAUAAGUUGG